GGUAAGAUGGCCGAAACUUAGGCAGCGGGUUGUAGCCCCGCCAACAGAGGUUCAAGUCCUCUUCUUUCCA
rnacentral:tRNA from 1 species